CCUACGGGUGGCUGCAGUGGGGAAUAUUGGACAAUGGGCGAAAGCCUGAUCCAGCCAUGCCGCGUGUGUGAAGAAGGCCUUCGGGUUGUAAAGCACUUUCAGUGGGGAAGAAAGCCUUGGGGCUAAUACCCUCGAGGAAGGACAUCACCCACAGAAGAAGCACCGGCUAACUCCGUGCCAGCAGCCGCGGUAAUACGGAGGGUGCGAGCGUUAAUCGGAAUUACUGGGCGUAAAGCGCGCGUAGGCGGUCUGAUAAGCCGGUUGUGAAAGCCCCGGGCUCAACCCGGGAACGGCAUCCGGAACUGUCAGGCUAGAGUGCAGGAGAGGAAGGUAGAAUUCCCGGUGUAGCGGUGAAAUGCGUAGAGAUCGGGAGGAAUACCAGUGGCGAAGGCGGCCUUCUGGACUGACACUGACGCUGAGGUGCGAAAGCGUGGGUAGCAAACAGGAUUAGAUACCCCUGUAGUC
rnacentral:rRNA from 1 species